ACCUGGUAUAACGAGAAGAAGGAGAGAUAGGCACUUCUUAUGGCUUAUAUUCUACAGCGUUUUAUUCACGCUAUGGCCACAGGCACCGUCAAGUGGUUUAACGACGCUAAGGGCUUCGGGUUCAUUACUCCUGACGAGGGCGGUGAAGACCUCUUCGCUCACUUCUCCGCCAUUAACGUGCAGGGCUUCAAGACUCUAAAGGAGGGACAGAAGGUGUCGUUCGACGUAAUACA
rnacentral:misc_RNA from 1 species